UGCAUUCACUACUGUAAGUCACUCUGGAUAAGAGCGUCUGCUAAUGACUAAAA
rfam:Salmo salar isolate Sally breed double haploid chromosome ssa01, whole genome shotgun sequence.